UGGGGAAUAUUGCACAAUGGGCGCAAGCCUGAUGCAGCCAUGCCGCGUGUGUGAAGAAGGCCUUCGGGUUGUAAAGCACUUUCAGCGGGGAGGAAGGCGAUACGGUUAAUAACCGUGUUGAUUGACGUUACCCGCAGAAGAAGCACCGGCUAACUCCGUGCCAGCAGCCGCGGUAAUACGGAGGGUGCAAGCGUUAAUCGGAAUUACUGGGCGUAAAGCGCACGCAGGCGGUCUGUCAAGUCGGAUGUGAAAUCCCCGGGCUCAACCUGGGAACUGCAUUCGAAACUGGCAGGCUUGAGUCUUGUAGAGGGGGGUAGAAUUCCAGGUGUAGCGGUGAAAUGCGUAGAGAUCUGGAGGAAUACCGGUGGCGAAGGCGGCCCCCUGGACAAAGACUGACGCU
rnacentral:rRNA from 1 species